rnacentral:rRNA from 1 species
ACAGGAUUAGAUACCCUGGUAGUCCACGCCGUAAACGAUGUCGACUUGGAGGCUGUUCCCUUGAGGAGUGGCUUCCGGAGCUAACGCGUUAAGUCGACCGCCUGGGGAGUACGGCCGCAAGGUUAAAACUCAAAUGAAUUGACGGGGGCCCGCACAAGCGGUGGAGCAUGUGGUUUAAUUCGAUGCAACGCGAAGAACCUUACCUACUCUUGACAUCCAGAGAACUUUCCAGAGAUGGAUUGGUGCCUUCGGGAACUUUGAGACAGGUGCUGCAUGGCUGUCGUCAGCUCGUGUUGUGAAAUGUUGGGUUAAGUCCCGCAACGAGCGCAACCCUUAUCCUUUGUUGCCAGCGAUUCGGUCGGGAACUCAAAGGAGACUGCCGGUGAUAAACCGGAGGAAGGUGGGGAUGACGUCAAGUCAUCAUGGCCCUUACGAGUAGGGCUACACACGUGCUACAAUGGCGCAUACAAAGAGAAGCGACCUCGCGAGAGCAAGCGGACCUCAUAAAGUGCGUCGUAGUCCGGAUCGGAGUCUGCAACUCGACUCCGUGAAGUCGGAAUCGCUAGUAAUCGUGGAUCAGAAUGCCACGGUGAAUACGUUCCCGGGCCUUGUACACACCGCCCGUCACACCAUGGGAGUGGGUUGCAAAAGAAGUAGGUAGCUUAACCUUCGGGAGGGCGCUUACCACUUUGUGAUUCAUGACUGGGGUGAAGUCGUAACAAGGUACC